GGAGCAGUAGCUCAGUGGUAGAGCUCCCACUUCGUAUGCGGGAAGACCUGGGUUAUGUCCUCGGCUGCUUCC
rnacentral:tRNA from 1 species